rnacentral:tRNA from 1 species
GCGCCCGUAGCUCAGCUGGAUAGAGUAGGUGGCUUCGAACCAUCUGGUCGGGAGUUCGAAUCUCUCCGGGCGUGCCA